rnacentral:misc_RNA from 1 species
CCGAGUUUACAUCUCCCAAACCCCUGUGAACAUACCAAUUGUUGCCUCGGCGGAUCAGCCCGCUCCCGGUAAAACGGGACGGCCCGCCAGAGGACCCCUAAACUCUGUUUCUAUAUGUAACUUCUGAGUAAAACCAUAAAUAAAUCA